rnacentral:rRNA from 1 species
GGGUUGUGAGGUUAAGCGACUAAGCGUACACGGUGGAUGCCCUGGCAGUCAGAGGCGAUGAAGGACGUGCUAAUCUGCGAUAAGCGUCGGUAAGGUGAUAUGAACCGUUAUAACCGGCGAUUUCCGAAUGGGGAAACCCAGUGUGAUUCGUCACACUAUCAUUAACUGAAUCCAUAGGUUAAUGAGGCGAACCGGGGGAACUGAAACAUCUAAGUACCCCGAGGAAAAGAAAUCAACCGAGAUUCCCCCAGUAGCGGCGAGCGAACGGGGAGCAGCCCAGAGCCUGAAUCAGUGUGUGUGUUAGUGGAAGCGUCUGGAAAGGCGCGCGAUACAGGGUGACAGCCCCGUACACAAAAAUGCACAUGCUGUGAGCUCGAUGAGUAGGGCGGGACACGUGGUAUCCUGUCUGAAUAUGGGGGGACCAUCCUCCAAGGCUAAAUACUCCUGACUGACCGAUAGUGAACCAGUACCGUGAGGGAAAGGCGAAAAGAACCCCGGCGAGGGGAGUGAAAAAGAACCUGAAACCGUGUACGUACAAGCAGUGGGAGCACGCUUAGGCGUGUGACUGCGUACCUUUUGUAUAAUGGGUCAGCGACUUAUAUUCUGUAGCAAGGUUAACCGAAUAGGGGAGCCGAAGGGAAACCGAGUCUUAACUGGGCGUUAAGUUGCAGGGUAUAGACCCGAAACCCGGUGAUCUAGCCAUGGGCAGGUUGAAGGUUGGGUAACACUAACUGGAGGACCGAACCGACUAAUGUUGAAAAAUUAGCGGAUGACUUGUGGCUGGGGGUGAAAGGCCAAUCAAACCGGGAGAUAGCUGGUUCUCCCCGAAAGCUAUUUAGGUAGCGCCUCGUGAAUUCAUCUCCGGGGGUAGAGCACUGUUUCGGCAAGGGGGUCAUCCCGACUUACCAACCCGAUGCAAACUGCGAAUACCGGAGAAUGUUAUCACGGGAGACACACGGCGGGUGCUAACGUCCGUCGUGAAGAGGGAAACAACCCAGACCGCCAGCUAAGGUCCCAAAGUCAUGGUUAAGUGGGAAACGAUGUGGGAAGGCCCAGACAGCCAGGAUGUUGGCUUAGAAGCAGCCAUCAUUUAAAGAAAGCGUAAUAGCUCACUGGUCGAGUCGGCCUGCGCGGAAGAUGUAACGGGGCUAAACCAUGCACCGAAGCUGCGGCAGCGACGCUGAUGCGUUGUUGGGUAGGGGAGCGUUCUGUAAGCCUGUGAAGGUGUGCUGUGAGGCAUGCUGGAGGUAUCAGAAGUGCGAAUGCUGACAUAAGUAACGAUAAAGCGGGUGAAAAGCCCGCUCGCCGGAAGACCAAGGGUUCCUGUCCAACGUUAAUCGGGGCAGGGUGAGUCGACCCCUAAGGCGAGGCCGAAAGGCGUAGUCGAUGGGAAACAGGUUAAUAUUCCUGUACUUGGUGUUACUGCGAAGGGGGGACGGAGAAGGCUAUGUUGGCCGGGCGACGGUUGUCCCGGUUUAAGCGUGUAGGCUGGUUUUCCAGGCAAAUCCGGAAAAUCAAGGCUGAGGCGUGAUGACGAGGCACUACGGUGCUGAAGCAACAAAUGCCCUGCUUCCAGGAAAAGCCUCUAAGCAUCAGGUAACAUCAAAUCGUACCCCAAACCGACACAGGUGGUCAGGUAGAGAAUACCAAGGCGCUUGAGAGAACUCGGGUGAAGGAACUAGGCAAAAUGGUGCCGUAACUUCGGGAGAAGGCACGCUGAUAUGUAGGUGAAGCGACUUGCUCG